rnacentral:rRNA from 1 species
UAGGGAAUCUUCCGCAAUGGACGCAAGUCUGACGGAGCAACGCCGCGUGAGUGAAGAAGGAUUUCGGUUCGUAAAACUCUGUUGUUAGAGAAGAACAGCGCAUAGAGUAACUGUUAUGCGUGUGACGGUAUCUAACCAGAAAGCCACGGCUAACUACGUGCCAGCAGCCGCGGUAAUACGUAGGUGGCAAGCGUUGUCCGGAUUUAUUGGGCGUAAAGCGAGCGCAGGCGGUCAAUUAAGUCUGAUGUGAAAGCCCCCGGCUCAACCGGGGAGGGUCAUUGGAAACUGGUUGACUUGAGUGCAGAAGAGGAGAGGGGAAUUCCAUGUGUAGCGGUGAAAUGCGUAGAUAUAUGGAGGAACACCAGUGGCGAAGGAGACUCUCUGGUCUGUAACUGACGCUGAGGCUCGAAAGCGUGGGUAGCAAACAGG